UACGUAGGGGGCAAGCGUUGUCCGGAUUUAUUGGGCGUAAAGAGCGUGUAGGCGGCGAGACAGGUCCGUUGUGAAAACUAGAGGCUUAACCUCUAGACGUCGAUGGAAACCGUCUGGCUAGAGUCCGGAAGAGGAGAAUGGAAUUCCUGGUGUAGCGGUGAAAUGCGCAGAUAUCAGGAAGAACACCCGUGGCUAAGGCGGUUCUCUAGUACGGUACUGACGCUGAGACGCGAAAGCGUGGGGAGCGAACAGG
rnacentral:rRNA from 1 species